UAAAUAUGUCUUUUCUUUUCUCCCAAAUGGUGAUUCCUCUUCCUCUGGUGAUCCCAGAUCCAACGGCUCUGCUUACCCCUUCUCUUUCGGACCUGACUUCCACGUCCCUUUCAGAGUUAUGGCUAUUCCAAGGAAAGAUUUGUUUGGUCUUUGAUAUCUGCUGUCGGUAUCUUUUGUCUUGGUUCCGGUGCUACAAUUGUUCAUGGGUUUCAAAACUUGUAGACAUCACAGCCUCUGCACAGGAAUGAAGGACAACGGGACAUGCUGUACAAUCAGACAUUCAAUCUUGAUUAAGUUUCCUUUGCUGCUGAGGGUAUUAAAGAUGCUGAGCAAACAAUAGCUCCAAUUUAUUUGGCGUCAUGCAUAAAGCAGGGAAUGGGUUUGCUAGAUUUUAUUAAGCAAGCAACCUGUUCAAAAUAAUCAAGUAUUGCUUAAGAUUAUAGAGAUAUGCCGUUUAUAUGAACUUGACAGUGUUAGUUCAAACAUUAUGAAGGUUUUGAUUACGAUGAAUAGUGCUUCAAAGGAGAAAACACAAGCUCACAUUAGGAGUCAACUGGUGGUGGAGUCAAGUAGUCAACUGAUUUUCCACAGAAGUUAUUUUACUUGUUUUGGUGGUGACUACGAAAUCUGAGGUAUGCUUAUAUAGGAUAUUUUUCUUUUAUGCUAAACUAGUUGGCUACAAUAGGGUCACUUAGUGUGUGUGUAUUGCAUUGAAUUUCUAGUUUUACCGCAUUUUUUUGGAAGUGUUGAAGGAUAUUUUUAAACACUUUGGAACUUUGAUUGUGGUAUUAGCUUGGAACUUUGAUGAUGGUUAUAGACAAUGUUAUGUAUUUGAUAAUAUAUUUUUGUGUUAAUAUAAUGUUAGUUUGGAGACA